rnacentral:ncRNA from 2 species
UGUUCACGGCUGGGGUGCCCGUGCGGCCGCUUUGGAAAAAAGGCGGGUGGCGCGGGCUGAGACACACCCAUCGAACCUGAUCCGGGUCAUGCCGGCGAAGGGAGCCGACCGGAACCCGAC